rnacentral:rRNA from 1 species
UAGGGAAUCUUCCGCAAUGGACGCAAGUCUGACGGAGCAACGCCGCGUGAGUGAUGAAGGUCUUCGGAUCGUAAAACUCUGUUGUUAGUGAAGAACAAGUACCGUUCAAAUAGGUCGGUACCUUGACGGUACUAACGAGAAAGCCACGGCUAACAACGNG